rnacentral:rRNA from 1 species
AUGGCUUCCCAGCUCUCCUCUGUUGCUGUGUCCAUGGGGAUCUGCUUAGUUUCAGUUUUAGCCAUAGCCUUCCUGGUAAUCACCCUCUACAUCCUUGGCGUUGUUGUGUCCUUCGCAGUCUUCUGCACCAGAGAGUUCGCCCAGAGAGCCCAAGACAGGCCACCGCUCAUUGGGACUGUGCUUCGUCAACUGAAGAACUUUGACAAGCUCUUUGAUGAACAAGUGUCAUAUGCGCUUCUGCAUCCCACCAGCAGGCUGGUCUAUCCCGGGCACAGUGAGAUCUUCACCUCUGACCCCGCUGUCAUCGAGCAUUUUCUGAAGACCAACUUCAGUAAAUACAGUAAGGGGGAUUUCAACACACGAGUCAUGAGGGACCUCUUUGGGAAUGGAAUUUUCGCAACUGAUGGGGAGAACUGGCGACACCAGAGGAAGCUAGCAAGUCACGAGUUCUCAACCAAAGUGCUACGUGACUUCAGCAGUGAUGUUUUCAGAAUUAAUGCUGCAAAACUGGCAGAGAAGAUCUCAUACGCAGCAGCUAACAGAAUUACCAUAAACAUGCAGGACCUUUUGAUGAGAACAACAAUGGAUUCCAUGUUCAAAGUGGGGCUUGGUUUUGAGCUUAACACACUAUCCGGAUCAGAUGAAUCUAGCAUUCGAUUCAGCAAGGCGUUCGAUGAAGCAAGCUCUCUUGUUUACUACCGAUAUGUUGAUAUGUUCUGGCAAGUAAAGCGCCAGCUUAAUAUCGGAUCAGAAGCCAAACUCAAAAAGAACAUACAGAUAAUCGAUGAUUUUGUGAUGCAGUUGAUCCACCAAAAGAGAGAGCAAAUGAAGAAUAGGCAUGAUCAAAAAGCUAGAGAAGACAUACUAUCAAGAUUCAUACUGGCAAGUGAGGAGGACCCAGUGACAAUGAACGAUCGCUACCUACGUGACAUAGUCCUCAGCUUCCUGAUUGCUGGGAAAGAUACCACAGCAAAUACCCUAUCAUGGUUCAUUUAUAUGCUCUGCAAGAACCCCAUAGUGCAGGAUAAGAUUGCCUAUGAAAUCAAGGAAUCUGUUGAAUUGGCGCAAGAAGAUAACAUUGAGACCUUCACUGCAAGGUUAAAACAAGGUGCCAUUGACAAGAUGCAGUACCUCCAUGCUACGUUAACUGAGACACUCCGGCUGUAUCCUGCUGUUCCAGUGGAUGGCAAGAUGGCAGAUGAAGAUGAUUUGCUACCCAAUGGUUAUAGAGUGAUAAAAGGAGAUGGAAUGAACUAUAUGAUAUAUGCCAUGGGGAGAAUGAAAUACCUUUGGGGUGAGGAUGCUGAAGAAUUCAGGCCUGAAAGAUGGCUAGUGGAUGGAAUCUUUCAGCAAGAGAGCCCUUACAAGUUUAUAUCUUUCAAUGCGGGUCCACGUAUAUGCUUGGGGAAAGAAUUUGCAUACAGGCAGAUGAAAAUCAUGGCUGCUACCCUCAUACAUUUCUUCAGGUUCAAACUGGAAGAUGAAUCCAAGAGUCCAGUAUACAAAACAAUGUUUACUCUCCAUAUGGAUCAAGGACUUCAUCUUUUUGUGUACCCCCGUAAUAUUUCAGCUUGA